AUAAAUAGUUAAUCAAAGGACUUGCAAUAAAUCAUAUAACUAUCUAAAAAUAAUGGAGUUAACUUUUAAAUCUUCUAUUAAGUUUUGAAAGGGGAAUGAAAAAGAAAAUAGAACCUUGUCACUGCUUGUUUCUCAGUAUAUUGUAUAUGAAAUCUAAAUUAGGUAGUUUUUUUCCUUAUCACGCGAGGAAAAAGAUUAUACUUAGAAAACAAAAAGGGCAGAAAAUGGCCAUUACAAUAUGAAAGAUUUUCCAAUUCUCAAGAUUAACUUUCUAAAUAAAUGAUCGCUAUAACAUUCAGCAUUUCAAUAAAAUGUUGAGGACUCAGACACAGACCCACAACUUCUUUUACUAGCAUCAAAGGAAAAGAACGAAAAAAGAGGACAAAACAAAAUAAAAUUA
rnacentral:misc_RNA from 1 species